rnacentral:tRNA from 1 species
GCCAGUGUGGUUCAGUGGUUGAACAUCAACCUAUGAACCAGGAAGUCACGGGUUCGAUUCCUGUCAGGGCA